GGAAUAAUGGUGUAGUUGGUCAUCACUUCUGUGCCACACACAGAAGGUACCCAGUUCGAAUCUGGAUGUUUCA
rnacentral:tRNA from 1 species